rnacentral:tRNA from 1 species
GGGAAUGUGGCUUAGUGGUAGAGUGCUUGCCUAGAAUACAUGAAGCCCGGGGUUCAAUUCCUCAGUACCA